rnacentral:antisense_RNA from 1 species
AUGACAUCAGACUGGGCUUGUGCCUGAUAAUUCAUUUCUGAAGUGCCUGAAGAUUGAUGCGUCAGAUUUGCACAAUGUGCUACUUAGGAGAUUAUUUCUUCCUUCCUUCAGCCAGACAGGAGACUGCAGUGCGGAUAUGGUCCCUGUUUGCCUAUUUUCAUCCACAACUCUGCCAGAGACGAAAGAAGUGUUUGAAACAAUUCACCCAGAUUUCCAUCUGUAAUCAUCAAGAAUGAAUUGAUUAAAUUCCUUAAGAAAUUUACUUCAAGUCAUGAUUUUGACGGCCUAGUGCUAUCUGGAAAAGGGACAGCAGCAGCCUGGAGCAGUUUUCUAGCUAACAAGAAUUUUGUUAGCUAUGUGGCCACCUAGUGGCUCUUCCAUGAAUGUCACUGAUGGAUUGUCAGGGCAAUAACAGAGAAAUAGAGGCCACCAUCUUUGUGAAUACUUCACUGUGAUUAUCUCUCACCAUCAUCAAAUAGUUCAGAGCACUGAUCCUCACGAGUUGGACAUUUCCCCAUGAAGCAGUAGCCUUCUGAGUUCUUGCAAGGAAAUCCAUUGACCCUGAACUGGUCCUUAGGACAGGCAGGCGAGUGGCCAGUGCACAUCUCAGGAAAAUCACAUUCAUCUUUUGCCGGUCUACAUAUGGACCCUGCUUUUUUUAUCUGUUGAGGAAAAACAAAGAGACUAAAUCCUGGAUACAUUUAGGGUCUUACUGCUUCUCUGUACUGAAGUGUGAUGUGAGAUUAUUCAACUGCUGAAGAUCUGAUUUUAUCUUUUGCUCAAGCUGCCCAUUAUUUCAGGCUGACCUUUAUUUUUUAAUGUAUCAUUAAAUAGCGUCAAAAUGUUAACUUAUGCCCUAUUUUCUCAAACAAAAUUAAAACCUCAAAGAAAAUGGAGUGUG